CAAGUAGUCGACUUGAGCUACAACUCUGAGCUUAUGGAUUUGCUGAGUUCCAUUUCUAACUUGGAAAGUCUUAGAGCACUCUCACUUCGAGGAUGUAGUCGGCUCAAAUCUGUGCCACCACUGGGAAAGCUCAAAAAUCUGAGGGUGUUAGAUGUAUUAAGGAAGUACCUCAAGGAAUGGAAAACUUAGUCAAGCUUAAAUUUCUGGAUAUGGGUAGAACAGGUCUUGAUGAACUGCCGAAGGAGAUAUUUCCUAGGCUUUCCCAGCUUCAAUACCUCAAUCUUCCUGGAUGUAUGAAUGCCCCAGGUGAAGACUUGGCCGGCUUGGAACUGCUCGAAGAAUUCGGAGGCAGGUUCGGCGAUUUGCAUAACUUUCACAAGUUCAUGAGUAGUCGCCAUAACUAUGAGAAAGAUUGGUGGUAUGACAUAUUGGUGGGGCCAACAAAGGCCAGUGUUCGUCUUAAUAACUGCCUAUGGAAACUGAGAAGAGUGAUUGUAGGAGAUUGCACCAUUGAAGCAGGUGGAGGAGAAGCAGCAACAUCAAUUUUUAUUCCACUUGGCAUUGACAUUCUAGAGAUUAGUUCUUGCCAUGGGCUGAGUAGCUGCUUUGUGGACAAUUUUCUGCCACGGACUACUUUAAGAGGCUUGACCUGCAGCAUCUCUGAUUGUGGUGACAUUGAAUGGAUCGUCAACGAGCCCUCUGGUAGAGAUACCACUACAGACCCACACUGCAUAUCUUUCGAUAGUCUGAAAGUUUAUGACUUGCAAAAUCUUGUUGGGCUCUGUAAGGGAAAAAUUGCAUCUCACACCUUCUCGGGUCUAAUAAAAUUGAAAAUCCAGGACUGCGAUAGGAUGAAGAAGUUGUUUCCACGGGCUAUCUUGCAGGAUCUCAAGAGCCUUGAGAAGCUUGUUAUAAGUCGGUGUUAUAAGAUGGAAGAGAUAAUAGGAAGAGAGGGAAGUAGCCAAAACAGCAGCAGUACAUCUAUUACUGUUGACCUUCCUAACCUAAAACAGCUCGACCUGCACUACCUGCCUGAAUUGAAGAGUAUCUGUGAGGGAAAACUGAUGUGUGAUUCCCUUGAAUACAUGAGCUUUCUUGAGUGCCCCAAACUGAAGAGGAUGCCUUUCUAUACUCUAACUGCAAAUGAACAUCCUUUUCCAUCCCUUGGAGCAAUCAGAGUUUGUGAUGAAAAUUGGUGGGAAACAUUGGAGUGGGAACAAUCCCAUGUCAAGAUCCUCUUCCAAACUUACAUUAAAUGGCUUGUCAUUGAGGUUAGUUAGUUACCUAGUUAGGCGUUGAGGUUCGCUGGCUCAGCAAUAAUCAAUCUUUUUCUCUGCAUGCAAUGACCAUUCUUUACUCUUUUCCUUUUUACCCCAAACAAAUGCAUUGUAUUGUCAUUCAUUGUGUAUUAAAUCUAUAUAUUGUGAAUAGGUAGGUUUUAAAAAAAUAUAUGUAUAGUAUAGAUUGUAUGUUUAAUUCCCUAAUUCGUGUGCUUAUUAUUAUUAUUUUAUAUUUUAACUGUCCAUAGUGAAAAUCAUGGCUCCACUACUACUCAGUCUGUUAUUUUUAUGAGUUCAAAUUAAUGUUGGAUAGUUGGAUAAAUAUACUAGUAACAACAACAGAGAUCAAAUUAUGCCUAUGUAAGUUGCACAAAGCUUAAUCAAGAUAAAUCUUGUGUCCAUAUUGUAAUUUGAGCUAAAAUGAAUUGGAUUAUAAUUCAUCCAUGUGUUACAUGGAUUUGCUAAAGUAUGGACUAGAUAAAAUGACUCCAACCCAUUUUGAUCUCCUGAUUCCUAAAAACAUUUUUAGGCUAAAUUAUUUAGCUGCAAAACUAGCUGUAAAACUAGUAUACGUGCUCGCGCGUUGCGUGGACAAUAUUAAAAAAUUAUAAUCUUCUUUAUUUGAUCAUAUUAAAUUCCUAUUAUUAUUAAUUCGAAGCUCACAACUUAUCUUUAGUACAACAAUAUAACCUUCACAGUCGAAUUCAACACAACUUCUUGUCUUCACUUUCAAGAUUAUCUAUUUAGUUUACUAUAUGUAGUUAAUUUAACUGAGUAAUUUCAAAUGUUUUGUGCUUUAAUUGUAUGGAAAAAAAAAAUACAUUGUCAAUAUUCUGAAAACAACAUAAAAAUAUGGAUAGGAGAUAAGUUCUCAACUUUACACACAUUAUGACACUAAAAUGUAAAAUUUCAUGUUGUAAGAUUAAGCCUAUUUAAAAAGAUAUAAUCUCUAGUUUAUGUUUGACAAAGUAUUCCAUUAUACAAAGUUUGAUUGGUUUAUUUUUAAACAUCCCCUCAUGAAAAGUCUUUUCUUACUUAUCGUAUGUUCAACUAUAUUAAAUUUUUUUGAUUCUCAAAAUUCAUCCAUCAGAAAUAUACAGUGAUAUCAUGUAUGUAUGAAGGAAACAAAGGACGUCAAUAAACUAACACAUAAACUGUCUCUUUCAGAUGAACAUAUUCAUUCUCCUCAUCAUAUAAAGUAUGUUUUAAACUUGCUUUUAGUUACAGUUAAUAUAGCAGUUUGGGACAAUAGUCAAAUUGACGGUAGUUAGUAUGUCCUGGUAUGACAUAAUUUACGCUGCAUGAGCCAAAUAAUGAUAAUUAUUAUUAAAAUGUCAAAAUUGCAAGAUUGACGGCUAGAGCUCAUUCUAAUAUAGGACAAAACGUUUGCUGUAUCUGUCUGACACUAGUGAAGAUGGUCAAGCUGGAUUACAAAAAAAUAGUUAUUUUUUUUGAAUCAUAUAAGGUAGUUAAGUGCUAGUGGCAAAGAGAUGAGAGUUGCUGCCUUGAUGGCGCGGGUUUGAACCACUUCCUUCCCAGUGGUUGUGUACCACUUAGAUGUGCAUUAAUGUGGAGAUUGUCAUAUGAGAAAAUAGCAAAGUCAGUUUCCUUUGCUCCAUGGAAGUACAAACAUCACGCCAUCAGCACCCACAAAUCUGGGAUCGUAGCAUAGAGCGCCAUAACCAUCAUACCUAGAUUGUAGCCUUUGAACUUCCUGCUAUUUUCCGAUACUUAGAUUCAUAUGCAAUAUACAAGCUACUGCACCAUCGAAGGCUUUAACUAUUUACUGCCAAAUUAUAUGCAGUGAAAAAAUUAAGAUAGAAUUUCCACUUAAGCUGACAAUCAUGAGAUAUGAGAUCGAAUUUGAAAACAACAUUAAAUCAAACAAACAAAAAGACAAAUGCGAGCUCCCAAUUUCGAGAAUGAGAAUAAAACAGAAAUUCAACGACAAAAUAUAACAAAAAACUUCAUCACUCUGCUGUUACUCAGGCUUAGGGCGUCUUAGAUAAGUCCUCCGCUUGAUUCUCCAUUAGUCCAGAUGAAAUGAAAGAAUGUAACUCACACUGAUAUACACAAAGUGACAGAAGUUUGAAGGCUGCAUUUAAUAUACAUAUUGGGUACUUAAAAUUAAAGGAAUUUGCAUAAAUGAUUAUGAAAAAGUACAAACCCGAUAAUGGAUAAUUUUACCAAAUCGACUAAAGGCAUCUUCGAGCUGAUAAAUCUAUAAUGUCCCAUGAUAAACCCAUGUGACUUUUCCAGUUUCUUUCAUCACAAAAAUUCAGAAUUGAUCUUAUCAUAAAUAGAGAAUUCAUAUUGAAAUCCAACAUAACCACCAAUCUUAAGCUUAUAUAUAAGACCGCAAAAAUCACAUACUCAAAUCAACAGCAAAAGGCAUGGUCAGGGGAAGGGCCUAUCACAAGGGUGUAAUGUACGCAGCCUUCAAUUAUGCUUAGUUCCCGAUAAGGCUCAGGACAUGCAGAUCUGCAAACAUUUCAGAAAUUAACAAUCGGUCUGCCAACAACAUCUAACCAAAAAAAAAAGACAGCCCGGUGCACUAAAGGUCACGCUAUUCGCAUGGUCAGGGGAAGGGCCCACCACAAGGGUGUAAUGUACGCAACCUUCUCUUGCAUUUCUGCCAAAGUAUAUUUCAAAGGUUUAAACCCGUGACCUCCCAGUCAUAUGACAACAACUUUAACCGAAAAAUGAUGUACUGACAAACAAAGAAACCCCAAAUGCAAAAUAUGAUAGAGCAAGACCACAUUAUUCCCAACAAUUAACAAAUCAGAUAUGCAAACAUAAUUGAAAUAAAAGGUAUAGAAAAUUACCAAUUAAACUGUCAAAAGUUGUUCAGUAAUAAAUAAUUUCGAUAAAAUAAAAGAGAUGGAGAAAUAUGCGCCAGAAGAUUAAACUCGGUGUGUCUUGCCUUUGCGAAUCGCCAAAGACACCCUUAACGGUUCUUAUAGAACAAUCAAGUUUGAUACUACCUCCUCUAUCCAGCAUUAGAGAUUUCUCCAAGUAGUUAGAAUUUUCUUAAUCAAAUCGUCAUUUCUGCAUAAAAUCUACCCUUUCCAAACCCCAUUUGAUGAAAUUAUAAUGGGUACGUUGUUGUUGUUGACUACAAAAGUUCAAAGUUGCAUUUUUUUAACAUACGUUGUAAGGAGGUAUGUAAGCUUUCUGUUUGUUCCUCCAUCGAUUACUUUUUCAUUACUAAAUGACUAUACAAAGCAUCCAAGAAUUAACCAGUUUAUAAAUUAACAUAUUGGGCCAGUGCUGACCACGGGCCUUGCCCAUCUAGUACUACAUAUAAAUGAAGUAAAAAUAACAUAAAUCUCAACCUUAUUAAAAUUAUUUACACUCUCUUCACUUCCUUAAUUACUUUACUCUCUUUUUCGAUUCAUAUACAUAACAAAACCGACAUAUACAUAGAAACAUUUGUAUAUGACAAGGCCAACAUAUAUAUACCAAGGCCGAUUCAUAUGCAUGACAAGUAUGACAAAGCCGACAUAUACAUAGAAAGCUAUGGAUAUGCAUUUUUAGAGAAAAAUGAGAUUUUUAUAAUAUGUUUGGAGAUAUGAGAUUUUUUGUAAUAAGCGAAACUUAAGUUGUUGAUUUGUAUAAUUUUUAAAUAAAUGAAAGGUAUGUGUUUGGACUCUCAUCAUUUGUCCUUUCAUUAUAUCUAACUGUUACAUCAUACAUGUUACAUAAAGUUGUAAAUAUGGCUGGGUUGUUUAUGUUGGAUAUCAAAAUUCUAGAGAUUGAAAAUGUUAUAUUAGACAUUGUCAAACAAAUAAAAAAUUGCAUUUAACUUUGUCACAAUUCACAAGGAAGCAAGGAUAUUUUCUUGUAAUUGUUUACAUUUGGAAAAAAAAAAAACUAAGGAAGACAAUCCAAUUAAGAUAUACUAUUUGAGUUCCUCAGACUGGCUGAAAAAAUGAAUCUAUGCUGCAAAAAAUUAGAUGCAUAAAUUCAAAAUAUAUUUCCGUUAAGAGCAAGAAGUUUCAGUUAUCCCAAAUAUCAGUGAGUCAAUUCUGCUAAGAAACCCACAUCAGAAUAAUUAGAUGUGUUUUAAUAAAUAGUUGGUCAUAGUUUAGGAAUGAAACUCAAAUACACAUAAUAAUUCAGGUAUGAAACACAAAAAAUCGAGAUAUUUCAGGUAUGUUUUAACUCUUUCACUCUAAAAACAAUGAUGAAACUUUGCAUAUCAGUGUCCAGAACCAUAAAUUUAAAAUCCUGAAUUCGCCACAUAUUUGAUUCCUUUAUUCUUUUUAUUCCUUUAUUUCUCAAGUUUCCUUAAUUCUUUCUAUUCCUUUAUUCUCAAGUUUCCUUUAUUCUUUUUAUUCCUUUAUUCUCAAGUUUCGUUAAUUCUUUUUAUUCCUUUAAAGAAUUAAGGCCUUGACUUAAACCAACCAGUCCAUUUACAGCACGUGUUACAGGAUGAGAAUGUCUCAAGCAUCGGAAUAUAUGGUAUGGGAGGGGUGGGUAAAACCACUUUGGCAAAACAUAUACAUAAUCGUCUUGUUAAUGACCAUCGUUAUCAAGUCCGCUGGCUUACUGUCUCGCAAGGGUUUAGCAUCAAAGGAUUACAAGAUAAGCUAGCCAAAUUUGUGAAUCUAGAUCUUUCAAAUGAAGAGGAUGAACAUAGGUCAGCCAAAUUAAACCGGGCAUUCCCAAAAACGAAUAAAAUGGUUAUCAUAUUGGAUGAUGUCUGGGAUCGCCUUUCCUUGGAGAAGUUAGGUGACCCUCUUGGUGUAGAGGGUUAUAAGCUGAUUCUAACAACUCGCUCAUAUGAAGUCUGCCUAAAGAUGGGUUGUCAGAAACUACUCGAAGUGAAGACCCUGAAUACUGAUGAUGCUUGGGAGCUGUUCAAGAAGGGUCUAGGAUUUGAGACUCAGCUUAGUCCAGAUAUCGAGAGAGUUGCCAAAUCCAUGGCAGGAAGGUGUGAGGGCUUGCCGCUCGGGCUUAUCACUUUGGCGGGAAGCACGAGAGGGGUGACCGAUAUAAGGGAGUGGCGGAAUGCUCUGAACGAAUUCCCUGAGGACAUGGAAAGCGAUGUCUUCAAGGUACUGAAGUAUAGUUACGAUCGGUUGAGAGAUAAAACUAUGCAAGAGUGCUUCUUGUAUUGUGCUUUGUAUCCCGAGGAUGAUGUAAUUGAGAGAGAUGAACUAAUUGGCCGAUUUAUCAUGGAGGGACUGGUGAAGGGAAAUAGUAGGGAAGAAGAGUUUAACCGUGGCCAUACCAUAUUGAAUAAACUAGUCAAAGCUCUGGUUACUUGAAGCACCUGAUUACGACACGGGAUAUGAAGCAGUAAGGAUGCAUGAUCUACUCAGAGAAAUGGCAUUGCGGAUCACAACUGAUAAACCACGGUACAUGGUAAGGGCCGGAAUAGGACCACUAGUGUUGGAGGAGCAGGAUUGGGUGUUCGAUUUGGAUAGAGUCUCUUUUUACGACAACGAGAUAAAGAGAAUCCCUGAAGGCAUGGCACCCAAUUGCCCCACAUUAUCAACCUUGAUUUUGUCUAAUUGUGAUUUGACAAUGAUCCCAGGUCCUUUCUUUCAGUACAUGAACAAGCUCCAAGUACUCAACUUGAGCGACAACUCUAAGCUUAUGGAUUUGCCGAGUUCCAUUUCUAACUUGAAAAGUCUUAGAUCACUCUCGCUUUGUGGAUGUGAGCAGCUAAAAUAUGUGCCACCACUGAGAAAGCUCAAAAAUCUGAGGGUGUUAGAUGUAUUUGACACUGGUAUUAAGGAAGUACCUCAAGGCAUGGAAAACUUAGUCAAGCUUAAAUUUGUAGAUACGAGUGGAACAGAUCUUGAUGAACUGCCGAAGGAGAUAUUACCUAAACUUUCCCAUCUUCAAUACCUCAAU
rnacentral:lncRNA from 1 species